rnacentral:lncRNA from 1 species
GGUGUGUCUGUCCCACCAGGCAUUCGCUCGAAUCUAACCAACCGACGCUGAGCAGGGAUCGGAUAAAGACGCGUUCUGUGGCAUCUGCCAAAACUCCCGACCACUCCGCUCACAAUUGUCAACGGAGAGACAGUAGCCCGCAAACAGCGGACACCUGACAGGCAACAGAAGGGAUAAAGCAAGAGGCAACAUAAUACAUUUAGCCGUAAAAUGCAACAGUCUUUGUUGGAUUAAAACAUCAUUCAAAGAUAAGCGUCGUAUAGGCAGUGAAACAAGGACGAACGCCGGUGCUGAAGCUGAACUGCGACUAGGGAGUGCCUCGGAACGGGACUUGACUGGAAGUCUAUGGCAGGAGCGGAAGAAACAAUCGCCGGUUUUAAUUGGCUGAUCUGUCUAUUCCCAUCUAGCAUAACGC